rnacentral:rRNA from 1 species
GCGGCAUGCCUUACACAUGCAAGUCGAACGCGAAUUUGUCUUCGGACAUUAGUAGAGUGGCAAACGGGUGAGUAACGCGUGGGAAUAUACCUUAUAGUACGGAAUAGCCUCGGGAAACUGGGAUUAAUACCGUAUACGCCCUUCGGGGGAAAGGUUUAUCGCUAUAAGAUUAGCCCGCGUCAGAUUAGCUAGUUGGUGGGGUAACGGCCUACCAAGGCAACGAUCUGUAGCUGGUCUGAGAGGACGAUCAGCCACAUUGGGACUGAGACACGGCCCAAACUCCUACGGGAGGCAGCAGUGGGGAAUAUUGGACAAUGGACGCAAGUCUGAUCCAGCAAUGCCGCGUGAAUGAUGAAGGCCUUAGGGUUGUAAAGUUCUUUAAGUAGGGAAGAUAAUGACGGUACCUACAGAAUAAGCACCGGCUAACUACGUGCCAGCCGCCGCAGUAA